rnacentral:rRNA from 1 species
GCCGCAGUUUCCUGUGCUAAGGUAGCGCAAUAACUUGCCUUCUAAUUAAAGGAUCGUAUGAAAGGACACAUGACUUUCUUAUUUUCUCAUAUAUUUAAAAUAAAUUUAACCUACAAGUAAAAAGACUUGUAUUAACAAGAAAGACGACAAGACCCUAUAGAACUUCACUAUUGUUAAACUGGGGUGGUCAACAACAAAAGCUUAUCUUCCCAAACCACACAAAGACCUGAAACUUUCAACAAAAGAACAAGUUACCUUAGGGAUAACAGAGUAAUUCCUCUCUAGACCUGUUCCAAAGAGGAGCUUUCUACCUCGAUGUUGAAUUUAAUAUUACUUCAUAAAUAAACAUUAUACAAGUAGGUCUGUUCGACCUUUAAAAUAUUACAUGAU